UACGUAGGGACCGAGCGUUGUCCGGAUUCAUUGGGCGUAAAGGGCGCGUAGGCGGUCAGCACAAGUCAGUUGUGAAAUCUCCGAGCUUAACUCGGAACGGUCAACUGAUACUGUGCGACUAGAGUGCGGAAGGGGCAACUGGAAUUCUCGGUGUAGCGGUGAAAUGCGUAGAUAUCGAGAGGAACACCUGCGGCGAAGGCGGGUUGCUGGGCCGACACUGACGCUGAUGCGCGAAAGCCAGGGGAGCGAACGGG
rnacentral:rRNA from 1 species